GACCUCAGAUCAGGCCAGAUCACCCGCCUAAUUUAA
rnacentral:rRNA from 2 species